rnacentral:rRNA from 1 species
UACGUAGGGUGCGAGCGUUGUCCGGAAUUACUGGGCGUAAAGAGCUCGUAGGUGGUUUGUCGCGUUGUUCGUGAAAACCGGGGGCUUAACCCUCGGCGUGCGGGCGAUACGGGCAGACUUGAGUACUGCAGGGGAGACUGGAAUUCCUGGUGUAGCGGUGGAAUGCGCAGAUAUCAGGAGGAACACCGGUGGCGAAGGCGGGUCUCUGGGCCGAUACUGACGCUGAGGAGCGAAAGCGUGGGGAGCGAACAGG